rnacentral:RNase_P_RNA from 1 species
GCAGUUUAUUGGACAGUCGCUUGCUCGUUUAGAGUAAGAGGAAAGUCCGGGCAGCAUAGGAUACAACAGUCGCUAACGGCGACCGGGGGUGACCCUAGGGAAAGUGCCACAGAAACGGUACCGCCCAUACCUAGUAUGGGUAAGGGUGAAAGGAGUGAGGUAAGAGCUCACAGUCGACUAUGGUGACAUAGGAGAGAGGUAAACCCUGUUGGCUGCAAGGAGAUACGCGCAAAUGAGCUAUCCGCUCGUGCGUAUCGAUACCCGCUUGAUUGUUACGGCAACGUAAUGACUAGAUAGAUGACUGUUCACGACAGAACCCGGCUUACAGAUAGGCUGCCACC